GCACGCAAGUGUGAAACUCAAAGGAAUUGACGGGGGCCCGCACAAGCGGUGGAGUAUGUGGUUUAAUUCGAUGCAACGCGAAGAACCUUACCAGGGUUUGACAUCCUGCGAACCCCUGAGAAAUCGGGGGGUGCCUUCGGGAACGCAGAGACAGGUGGUGCAUGGCUGUCGUCAGCUCGUGUCGUGAGAUGUUGGGUUAAGUCCCGCAACGAGCGCAACCCACGUCGUUAGUUGCCAGCAUUCAGCUGGGCACUCUAGCGAGACCGCCGGUGAUAAACCGGAGGAAGGUGUGGAUGACGUCAAGUCAUCAUGCCCCUUACAUCCUGGGCUACACACGUACUACAAUGCUACGGACAAAGGGCAGCGAACUCGCGAGGGUAAGCAAAUCCCAUAAACCGUGGCUCAGUUCAGAUCGUAGGCUGCAACUCGCCUACGUGAAGGAGGAAUCGCUAGUAAUCGCAGGUCAGCAUACUGCGGUGAAUACGUUCCCGGGCCUUGUACACACCGCCCGUCACACCAUGGAAUUGGCCACGCCCGAAGUCGUAC
rnacentral:rRNA from 1 species